GGAUGAAUAUUGCGCAAUGGACGAAAGUCUGACGCAGCCAUGCCGCGUGAAGGAUUGAAGGCCCUACGGGUUGUAAACUUCUUUUGUACGGGAAAAAACGCUCCUACGUGUAGGAGCCUGAUGGUACCGUAAGAAUAAGCACCGGCUAACUCCGUGCCAGCAGCCGCGGUAAUACGGAGGGUGCAAGCGUUAUCCGGAUUUAUUGGGUUUAAAGGGUCCGUAGGCGGACUAUUAAGUCAGUGGUGAAAGC
rnacentral:rRNA from 1 species